CUCAACUGUUAUUGGUCAGCUGGGUUCGGCGUGUGUUUGAAAGGUUACGCCCCUGACUACGCGUGGGUUGACACAGAUUCUGACUGAGAGUCACAGCCUCAGAGGCAACGUAAACAAGCGUUAUAUUUCUCUAUAAACGAUGGUGUCUGUACUGCCUUACCACUUCGAGCUCGAUCCAGAGAGUUCAGAAGGCCGUUACGAUAUAAACGAUCUCCGUCAAUGAACGCGAUUGGAUUUAACUUUUUUAGGUGUCCUUAGCUCUGCCAGAAUGCUAAACGAAGACGAAAAUGUGUUGCAAAGACAUCCAAAAGGUUUUAAGGAGAAUGCAACAGGUUCCAGGGCCUCUUACCUGCGUGAUUCAUCAUCCAGGUUUUGCACAAAUUGUCUAAAUCCCUACACACAGAACAUUUAUUGUACCGACUAUAAGCCUUUGAGGCGCAGGACUAGAAUAUGCUUGGAGCUUCCUGAUCGGAAUGUUGGCUUUCGACGACCCCUGCACUGAAGAUGGCAUGCAAUCACGUCCUCCUUUGAAGGUCUCUCAAACUGUGAUGCCAGGUCCAUUGGAAUCGGG